UUUGAUCCUGGGCUUCAGGACGAAACGCUGGCGGGCCUGCCUAACCACAUGCCAGUUCGAGCGAAGAAAAAAGAAGUAAUUCUCUUCGGAGUGACACCUCUUUGGAUUAGCGGCGGACGGGUGAGUAACACGUGAGCAACCUGCCGUACACAUUGGGAUAGCCUCGGGAAACUGGGAUUAAUACCAAACGAAACAUAUUGAUAGCAUUAUCAAAAUGUCAAAGAUUUAUCGGUGUACGAUGGGCUCGCGUCUGAUUAGCUAGUUGGUGAGAUAAAAGCUCACCAAGGCAAUGAUCAGUAGCCGGCCUGAGAGGGUGAUCGGCCACAUUGGGACUGAGACACGGCCCAAACUCCUACGGGAGGCAGCAGUGGGGAAUAUUGCACAAUGGAGGGAACUCUGAUGCAGCGACGCCGCGUGAGCGAAGAAGGAAUUCGUUUCGUAAAGCUCUGUCCUAUGGGAAGAUAAUGACGGUACCAUAGAAGAAAGCCCCGGCUAACUACGUGCCAGCAGCCGCGGUAAUACGUAGGGGGCGAGCGUUGUCCGGAAUUAUUGGGCGUAAAGGGUUCGUAGGCGGUAAUACAUGUCAGAUGUGAAAUCUUGUGGCUUAACCACAUCAAGCAUCUGAAACUGUAUAACUUGAGUGGAGGAGAGGUAAGUGGAAUUCCUAGUGUAGCGGUGAAAUGCGUAGAUAUUAGGAAGAAUACCAGUAGCGAAGGCGACUUACUGGCCUCUAACUGACGCUGAUGAACGAAAGCGUGGGUAGCAAACAGGAUUAGAUACCCUGGUAGUCCACGCCGUAAACGAUGAGUGCUAGGUGUCGGGAGUCAAAUCUCGGUGCCGUAGU
rnacentral:rRNA from 1 species